CCUACGGGCGGCAGCAGUGGGGAAUCUUGCACAAUGGGGGAAACCCUGAUGCAGCGACGCCGCGUGCGCGAGGAAGUCUUUCGGUAUGUAAAGAUCUAUCAGCAUGGACGAAAAAAGACGGUACCUGACUAAGAAGCACCGGCUAACUACGUGCCGGCAGCAGCGGUCAUACGUAGGGGGCAAGCGUUAUCCGGAUUUACGGGGUGUAAAGGGAUCGUAGACGUCAAGGCAAGCCAGAAGUGAAAGGCAAGGGCUCAACCCUGUACAUGCUUUUGGAACUGUGGGGCUAGAGGGCAGGAGAGGUAAGUGGAAGUCCUAGUGUAGCGGGGAAAUGCGUAGAUAUUAGGAGGAACACGAGUGGCGAAGGCGGCUUACUGGACUGUAACUGACGUUGAGGCUCGAAAGCGUGGGGAGCAAACAGGAUUAGAUACCCUAGUAGUC
rnacentral:rRNA from 1 species